rnacentral:lncRNA from 1 species
CAAGGAUUUACUAUGUUAAAUAAGGUUAUUAAGAAGUAUUUUGGUAGCUAAAAAAAGAGGGAGGAAAGAUACCAAAGGGACAGUCAAACUCAUAAAUCUAACACAAACUGGCAACGCCAUGAAUAAAAAUGGAAAAGACAAACAGAAAAACAAUAGUACCCAUGACACAACAUAGAAAACCAAAGAAUAAACAACACGAACC